rnacentral:rRNA from 1 species
GACGAACGCUGGCGGCGUGCCUAAUACAUGCAAGUAGAACGCACAGUUUAUACCGUAGCUUGCUACACCAUAGACUGUGAGUUGCGAACGGGUGAGAAACGCGUAGGUAACCUGCCUGGUAGCGGGGGAUAACUAUUGGAAACGAUAGCUAAUACCGCAUAAUAUUGAUUAUUGCAUGAUAAUUGAUUGAAAGAUGCUAUUGCAUCACUACCAGAUGGACCUGCGUUGUAUUAGCUAGUAGGUGAGGUAACGGCUCACCUAGGCGACGAUACAUAGCCGACCUGAGAGGGUGAUCGGCCACACUGGGACUGAGACACGGCCCAGACUCCUACGGGAGGCAGCAGUAGGGAAUCUUCGGCAAUGGACGAAAGUCUGACCGAGCAACGCCGCGUGAGUGAAGAAGGGUUUCGGAUCGUAAAGCUCUGUUGUAAGAGAAGAACGGGUGUGAGAGUGGAAAGUUCACACUGUGACGGUAUCUUACCAGAAAGGGACGGCUAACUACGUG